rnacentral:tRNA from 1 species
GCGGGAGUAGCUCAGGUGGUAGAGCAUCAGCUUCCCAAGCUGAGGGUCGCGGGUUCGAGUCCCGUCUCCCGC